AUUAAACUUAAAUUUUAAAAUUUUAAAAAAUUACUACAAAAUUUAAUUCGGAUUUUUUUUGUCAAAAAAAUUAAUUAAGAAAAAAAAAGUUAUUUAUUAUAAACAAACCUGAUGAUUUUAGUAUAAGUAAGAAAUACACAUUAUCAAUAAUUUUAGAUUAAUACUUCAAAAAUUUGUAACUUUUUAAUAAUAUUUUAUCAAAGUAUUUAUUAUCAUUCAACACAUGAAAGAUUAAGCAUCAAAUAAUAAUAUUGCUUAAAUAUUUAUAUCAAAGAUGACUUGAGCAUUUUAAUUACAAUAAAACCGUCCAUAAAAUGAUCAUGUCCCUUAUUAAUAACAUUAAUUUUAUUUGUAAAUACAUGUUUAUAUAUAUAUAUAUAUAUAAUUAUGUGUAUAUAUAUAUAUAUAUAUAUACACAGAAUUGAGUCAGAUCAAAUAAUAUUAUUUUGUACAUAAAUUUGGUAUGUUUUCUAUGUUCUAUAAAAAUAAAAUAAAAAUAAACAACUAUCUUUUAAAUGAUUAAUCUUUCUUGCAGAAAUAUUACAUAAAAUUAUGUUACACAACAUUGUUAUAAUAACAUUAUUUGUUUUAUUCUAUAACAUGCAACAUUUAACGGUUUUAAAUUAUGACUAAUUUACAUGUAGGGUGAUGUAGAUCAAACUCUUUUGUAUUAGCACCUAAAUAAAUCUAUAAGCAACGAUUUAUAAGUUGGUGCACAUAUUUAAACUCCACAAUUCACAAUAAAUACUUUGUAACUGUAUUUGGUGUUAAUGCGUAAUUUUUAAGAAAUAUGAUAUGUGAUGUAUGUUGGUGCAAAUAUAACAUAUUUCUUCUACAGAAACCUACACACACAUUCAAACCUACUCACAACAUUUUAAUGCUUUCUUGUAGAACUCCAAAAUGUUACUGUUUGUUUGUUUGUUUGUUUGUUUUUAUAUUGAUACAUGCGUUAUGCGUCACCCAUUCUUUUAUCUGUCGAAACAAAGCAAGUCCAACUUUGUCAACUAAAAGUCAAAUACCUUGUAUGGGCUUCGACCACAUGGUUGUCUUCGUCCUCUUCAUCGUCGUCGUGAUGCUCGUGCUCGCCCGCCACUGUGACCUAGAAGUCAUUCGGAACACCACAGCACAGUCACAGCGUCUGUCAGAUCGCGCGGUGUCGUUGGUGUGUGCAUUAGAACAAAAACAAACAAACGAAGAAAGAAGAAGAAGAAAGAAAGAGGAGGGAGAAGAAGAAGUAGAUUAGAAAAGAAAAAAAAAAAAAAACAAAUGAGAAGGGCGGGGAGGGCGGGGCUUUCCAAUCUGGUCUGGAGCAGUUCCCGAGUGAGAUCGGCACCAGUCCUGCUGCACCUGCUCCUCCACCUGCGUCCUCAUCACAUCUGAGAAUGGAAGCUACAUCAAUCCACUCUCUGUUGUCUGUAAGACAUCAACGACUGCCAUUUCCUUCGUCUUUUGUCGUUUUUCUGUUGUCUUGUGUUCCACGGUCGCCGUCGUCGUCAUCGCCAUCAUCAUCGCUGUCGGUGU
rnacentral:lncRNA from 1 species